rnacentral:rRNA from 1 species
AGCAGCCGCGGUAAUUCCAGCUCCAAUAGCGUAUAUUAAAGUUGUUGCAGUUAAAAAGCUCGUAGUUGAAUUUCGGGAUCAAUGUUUCGGUCAUGCCCUUGGUAUGUACUGAUAUUAUUGGUUUCUCACCUUCUAAAGAACCGUAAUGCCAUUAAUUUGGUGUCACGGGGAAUUAGGACUGUUACCUUGAAAAAAUUAGAGUGUUUAAAGCAGGCUCACGCUUGAAUACAUUAGCAUGGAAUAAUGAAAUAGGACAUCCGAUUCUAUUUUGUUGGUUUCUAGGAUCGAUGUAAUGAUUAAUGGGGAUAGUUGGGGGCAUUAGUAUUCAAUUGUCAGAGGUGAAAUUCUUGGAUUUAUUGAAGACUAACUACUGCGAAAGCAUUUGCCAAGGAUGUUUUCAUUAAUCAAGAACGAAAGUUAGGGGAUCGAAGACGAUCAGAUACCGUCGUAGUCUUAACCAUAAACUAUGCCGACUAGGGAUCGGAUGAUGUUAAUUUUUUAAUGACUCA